rnacentral:rRNA from 1 species
CCUACGGGAGGCUGCAGUGAGGAAUAUUGGUCAAUGGGCGCGAGCCUGAACCAGCCAAGUAGCGUGAAGGAUGACUGCCCUACGGGUUGUAAACUUCUUUUGUGCGGGAGCAAUAAUGGUCACGUGUGGCCAGACGAGAGUACCGUACGAAUAAGCAUCGGCUAACUCCGUGCCAGCAGCCGCGGUAAUACGGGGGAUGCAAGCGUUAUCCGGAUUUAUUGGGUUUAAAGGGUGCGCAGGCGGAUUUUUAAGUCAGCGGUCAAAUCGUGGGGCUCAACCCCAUCCAGCCGUUGAAACUGGGGAUCUAGAGUGUGCGAGAGGUAUGCGGAAUGCGUGGUGUAGCGGUGAAAUGCAUAGAUAUCACGCAGAACCCCGAUUGCGAAGGCAGCAUACCGGUGCACAACUGACGCUCAGGCACGAAAGCGUGGGUAUCGAACAGGAUUAGAUACCCUUGUAGUC